rnacentral:lncRNA from 1 species
GCUGGCAGCCAGCUCUCUGGAACUCCUCUUCAAAAGGACAAUGGCUGUCACUGUGGGCCAAACUAAUGACCUCGCGCUCAGCACUGCCACAAAUUCAGAUGCGAGAUUAUGUGACUGAAAUAACCUACAGGGAGCUAACACUCCUAGGAGUCAGUUUUAUCACAUCAGUUACCUUAUUUAAUACAGACCCAAGACAUAAGGGUUUAUAUGUCAGAGUUCAGAUGUGGACAGCACAUGGUUCUCCCAGGGUUCUGCAGUUCAGCCAGUUGUGGAAUUGACAGUUCUAAGGCAGCAUAGACUCGGAGCGCCCAGACCAUCAUGUUUCUGCUUCAUGACACCCCUUUCCUGCAGGUGGCAAGGAAGUAUUGGAAGGAUCAUAUCCAAGACGUCACCAUGCCAGUAAAAGGAAAAAGUAGCAGAGUCAAGAGUUCACAUGGGGAAAUCUCAAAGAUUUUGAGAUGCCUAAAGAAUGAGUUCAUGUCGCUAAUACAUAAUAUGUUAUCCACAAACAUAAUAGGUACUCAGAGGUUACUUGCCGAAUUGAGUUUAUCAUUUAGGUUGCCCUCUUUCUGAGUCUGUGAAAACAUCCUGCUUCUGUGUCUUCUGAGAUCCACGCCGUGUUGGAACUUAGGACUCUGGGAAGCCAAGCCAGCACCUCCCCUCCCUGGUAAGCGGAGGCAGGGUGGCAGACUGCGGCCCUUCCAGGGGGAGAACCAGCAGUGUCUCCUGAGAUCCACGCCAUGCUGGAACUUAGGACUCUGGGAAGCCAAGCCAGCACCUCCCCUCCCUGGUAAGCGGAGGCAGGGUGGCAGACUGCGGCCCUUCCAGGGGGAGAACUAGCAGUGUCUCCUGAAAUACACGCCAUGUUGGAACUGAGGAUGCUGUGAAAACAAAGGACCAUUCUGCCUCCCUGCUUAGCAAUAGUGAACCUGCUACAUGGCCUAGAGUCAAUUAUCCCACUUCCCAUAUCCUCCUUCUCCUCCUCCUCCCCGCCCAUUAGCAAGUGGGAACCAGAAAUCUGAGCAUCUCCUGGGAGGUUGACCAUAGGAAAUAAGGGGGACUUCCUUCUACCAUUUCUUUAAAGGCAAAUAUUUUUAUUACUGUUUUGCUCUUUUCUAAUUAAU